rnacentral:rRNA from 1 species
UACGAGGGGGGCGAGCGUUGUUCGGAAUUAUUGGGCGUAAAGGGUGCGUAGGCGGUUUUGUAAGUCUUAUGUGAAAUCUAUGGGCUCAACUCAUAGACUGCAUGAGAAACUGCAGGGCUUGAGUAUGGGAGAGGUGAGUGGAAUUCCUGGUGAUAGCGGUGAAAUGCGUAGAUAUCAGGAGGGAACACCUGUGGCGAAAGCGGCUCACUGGACCAUAAACUGACGCUGGAUGCACGAAAGCUAGGGGAGCAAACAGGA